UACGAAGGGUGCAAGCGUUACUCGGAAUUACUGGGCGUAAAGCGUGCGUAGGCGGUGAGUUAAGUCUGUCGUGAAAGCCCCGGGCUCAACUUGGGAAUGGCGAUGGAGACUGGAUCGCUAGAGUGCGGUAGAGGAGAGUGGAAUUCCCGGUGUAGCAGUGAAAUGCGUAGAGAUCGGGAGGAACAUCAGUUGCGAAAGCGGCUCUCUGGACCAGCACUGACACUGAGGCACGAAAGCGUGGGGAGCAAACAGG
rnacentral:rRNA from 1 species